AACGUAUUUUAAAACCAUUUAUAGAUAGAUUAGGAUUAAAUUCUUAUUAAAUCAUUUUAAAAUCAUGAUUAAGAAGAUCAGAUCUUCACCUUGUGCGGGUAGAUGGUCUCCGCAAAUAUGAUUCACAUGGUAUUUGAUGAGGGUUCAGUGGAAGCCGCACACGCGUCCGGCCUCUACGGGUAUCCACACGAAGUAGUGAGUCGAUCGAAGCCUUUG
rnacentral:lncRNA from 1 species